UACGAAGGGGGCUAGCGUUAAUCGGAAUUACUGGGCGUAAAGCGUGCGCAGGCGGUUCUAUAAGACAGAUGUGAAAUCCCCGGGCUCAACCUGGGAACUGCAUUUGUGACUGUAGAGCUGGAGUACGGCAGAGGGGGAUGGAAUUCCGCGUGUAGCAGUGAAAUGCGUAGAUAUGCGGAGGAACACCGAUGGCGAAGGCAGCCCCCUGGGUCAAGAUUGACGCUCAUGCACGAAAGCGUGGGGAGCAAACAGG
rnacentral:rRNA from 1 species